UGGGGUGUAGCUUGGUGGUAGAGCACUUGCCUAGCAUGUAUGAGGCUCUGGGUUCUACCCCCAGCACUGCAU
rfam:Ictidomys tridecemlineatus contig100646, whole genome shotgun sequence.